ensembl:lncRNA
CUCAUUUGCUGAGGUUCUCGGUCCUGUUACAUCCCCUGAUUCAGCGCUUGGUAUCCCUGGUAGACCAAGAUGAGCAUAGAAUUUCAACUGCCUCACAGUGAAAAUAAAUGUUGACCUGUCAGAAAUGUCCUUGGACUGAAAAUCACAGGCACUGACCCUCUGUGGCAAAGGAGUUGGACUAUGAUCGUCUACAAGGAAAAGAGAAUACAGGAAGCACAAUCUGCAAAACUCACCAAGAAAGAUGCACAGACAAGUGCAAGCCCAAGUACUUAUAAAAUGAAUGCAGCGGUGGUGGGAUGGUUUUCACUGAUAGUGACGUGCAAUACCAGGCUCCCAUCAGUGAUGCUUGCUUUCUGGGUUCUGAAAGAAAUGAGUUUGCUUCCCAACAACUUGUUUGCUACAGUAGCUACUUUCUGGUUCCAAAGUCUGGUAUCC